UACAGAGGUCCCAAGCGUUGUUCGGAUUCACUGGGCGUAAAGGGUGCGUAGGCGGUCGGGUAAGUCUGAUGUGAAAUCUCCAAGCCUAACUUGGAAACUGCAUUGGAUACUAUCCGGCUAGAGGAAUGGAGGGGAGACUGGAAUACUUGGUGUAGCAGUGAAAUGCGUAGAUAUCAAGUGGAACACCAGUGGCGAAGGCGAGUCUCUGGACAUUUCCUGACGCUGAGGAGCGAAAGCGUGGGGAGCGAACAGG
rnacentral:rRNA from 1 species